rnacentral:rRNA from 1 species
AGAGUUUGAUUAUGGCUCAGGAUGAACGCUAGCUACAGGCUUAACACAUGCAAGUCGAGGGGCAGCAUGGUCUUAGCUUGCUAAGAUUGAUGGCGACCGGCGCACGGGUGAGUAACGCGUAUCCAACCUUCCCUAUAGUAGGGGAUAGCCCGUAGAAAUGCGGAUUAAUACCCUAUGUUGUAUUUCGAUGACAUCUGACGAAUACCAAAGGUUCACCGCUAUAGGAUGGGGAUGCGUCUGAUUAGGUAGUCGGCGGGGUAACGGCCCACCGAGCCAACGAUCAGUAGGGGUUCUGAGAGGAAGGUCCCCCACAUUGGAACUGAGACACGGUCCAAACUCCUACGGGAGGCAGCAGUGAGGAAUAUUGGUCAAUGGGCGAGAGCCUGAACCAGCCAAGUAGCGUGCCAGGAUGACGGCCCUAUGGGUUGUAAACUGCUUUUAUGCGGGGAUAAAGUGAGGGACGUGUCCCUUAUUGUAGGUACCGCAUGAAUAAGGACCGGCUAAUUCCGUGCCAGCAGCAGC